UACGUAGGGUGCAAGCGUUGUCCGGAAUUAUUGGGCGUAAAGGGCUCGUAGGCGGUUUGUCGCGUCGGGGAGUGAAAACUCAGGGCUUAACCCUGAGCCUGCUUCCGAUACGGGCAGACUAGAGGUAUGCAGGGGAGAAUGGAAUUCCUGGUGUAGCGGUGAAAUGCGCAGAUAUCAGGAGGAACACCGGUGGCGAAGGCGGUUCUCUGGGCAUUACCUGACGCUGAGGAGCGAAAGUGUGGGGGAGCGAACAGG
rnacentral:rRNA from 1 species